rnacentral:lncRNA from 1 species
GCGGUAAUACAUAGCUUGUGGACAAGUAACUUUGUCGAAACAAUUAUUGCCACCGGUUCUCUUGAAACUAAGACUUGCAGAGUCAGAUGUCAAGGUUUUGGGUUCAGUCACCACAAUAACCUGUGAUUUUUUUUUUAAUCUCUUGCUACAGUAGUGAACAGAAAGACCAUGUUAUCCUGCUAGUCAACCUUUACCAAAUCGGCAAAUCCCUUGGUCCACUCACCAAAAUUUGAAAAAUCACAACCAUCCAUAUCUUAUAUAACCCUUAGGCACCACAAGCUAAUGGCCCUGACUGACAGAGACAUGUUAUGGCCUGAAUGGUUGAAGAACAAAACAGAUCAAUAAAAGAUAAGGUUUGAACCCCACAAACAAUUAGUUCUUUUGUAAAUAUUCCUUCAACUUCUAUAUCGUCUUCUUCAGAAACUAGAAUAACUGCCUUCUACCCCCUUUCUACUCAUUUUUCUUUAUCAUUUCUCAAUAGGUACCAGACACAGAGUUAAAUAGAACUAAUUUGGUACAAUAAAAUAAUGGGUCUAUGCAUAAAGACUAUAAUAAGUAUGUUCUCAAACUUUAAUGCUUUUGCAGGAGAUGACUGCAUUUCGAUACAAACUGGAUGCUCAAAUGUAUAUGUACACAAUGUCAACUGUGGACCAGGACAUGGAAUCAGCAUUGGAGGGCUAGGAAAAGACAACACAAAGGCCUGUGUCUCAAAUAUCACUGUUCGAGACAUUGUUAUGCAUAACACGAUGAAUGGUGUUAGGAUAAAGACCUGGCAGGUAUGAAUACCAUUUGCAUCCUCUAAUUGAAAUUUGAUGGCUUGAACACCAGAAAUCAAGACUCCACGAGUUGAUUGGACAAAUCAAACUUUCAUUUUUUCAAUACGUAAAAAAUAAAGUAUCAUAUAUUAUAAACAUCAACCUACUUUAAAAGAUCAAGUACAAACUUGCUAGGAUCAGAAGAAAUUAAAAAGGUAUAAAUCAUUUCAUUUUCAACCCGACUGAUGUUAUAACAAAACUUUUGAGCUCACUUGCUCAGACUAGUUAAUCCUGGAAAGUGGGUAUUUGGAAUGCAUGACUGCAACAUUUUUACCUAAUUCUACAUAUCACUUUUGCAGGGUGGGUCUGGGUCUGUGCAAGGAGUAUUAUUCUCAAACAUUCAAGUGUAUGAAGUCCAAGUUCCAAUCAUAAUUGACCAAUUCUAUUGCGACAAAAGCAAAUGUAAGAACCAAACAACUGCUGUGGCAUUGUCAGGGAUCUCCUAUGAAGAUAUAAGAGGAACAUACACAGUAAAACCUGUGCACUUUGCAUGCAGUGACAGCCUGCCAUGCACGGAGGUUACCUUAAAUGCCAUAGAACUAAAACCACUGCAAGAACACUACCACAUGUAUGAUCCAUUCUGCUGGCAUACAUUUGGAGAAUUGUACUCCACGACUGUCCCUCCAAUAGAUUGUUUAGAGAUUGGAAAGCCAUCAAAAUUUAACCAUAUUCAGGCUGAUAAUGAUGUAUGUUAAGUCUAGCUAGGUAAAUUCGGGUGUAUUCCGUUGUGUGGUCGAUGUUAUUUCCUGACCCAUUUCACACCAUUAGCUAGAGAGUACUAGUGGACACUGGACAUAUUGGUGGUGCUAGUUUUAGGAAUUCUUCUUUACAAGGAAAUAGCUCUCAUUUUGUGAAAGUAAACGUACAGUGAUAGUAGCUAAGAGCUUGAUGGAAUGGUUGUAAGACAGCUUGUCAGCUAAGAUAAAGGGUUCUACAGUUGUUAGGUGUCAAAUAAAUAAAUUACUAUUUCAAUUUUCAACACAUUCAUUUUUUACAAAGAAGUCCAUAUCACAUGAAUUUCAGGAUUCAGAUACUUUAGUGACGAGAAAUCAAGUGUCAUGAGGAGCCCAUUCAAAUUUCAUGAAUAUUAGGGUGUAAGAUGAAAAAAAUUGAUUGAACACGUAAACUAGGAAAUGAAUACCGCCUAAAUUUACAAAAAUAAGAAAACAAAAGAAGCUGGGGCCAGAACAGACAGUAAAAGUAGAAAUUUUCAUUCAAUGAAGCUUUUGUAGAAUAAAUAUACAAUGGAGAGAAAUAUUAAUGGGCAUCAACAAUAAAGAAGAUGUAGUACACCAUAUGUAUGCAGGAGUGAGUCUGUUAUGGCAUGAUAUUGAACAACCGGUCAAUUCAAUAAUUUAAAAGUUACAAAGUAUUCACCUUCCAGUCCCCAGAUGUCUUACAUUUUACAGCAAGGAGACUCUGUAAUUGCCUUCAAAUUAUCUGUCCGUAUGUUCGAUUCCGUUUGCUUAUCUCUAUGCCCAUGAGCAAAUUCAACGUUACUUGCGGAGUGGACUCCGGAGAGACAUAUCAUAGCGGUCGAACUUCAUUCGCUAACCUGGAUGAUAGCAUCUGGAUCUACAUCCAAAUUAAGGCCCUCAGGCAUAUGGGAAUAACUCCAAUCCAUAACCCCUUUCGUUUAGGCGAUAAAAUCACAAUUAAAAUU